rnacentral:rRNA from 1 species
UUAAGCAUAUUACUAAGCGGAGGAAAAGAAACCAACGGGGAUUCCCAUAGUAACUGCGAGUGAAAUGGGAAGAGCCCAGCGCUGAAUCCGAGGCCUGGCAACGGGUCUUGGAGCUGUAGCGUGAAGGUGGUUCUAAUUCGUGCGGCUGGCUGGUGUAAGUCCUCCUGAGUGAGGCUCCAAGCCAUGGAGGGUGCAAGCCCCGUAUCGCCGGCAGCCUGCGCGAAUAUAAGACUACCAGAGAGUCGCCUUGUUUGCGAGUACAAGGUGAAGUCGGUGGUAAACGCCAUCGAAGGCUAAAUAUGACCACGAGUCCGAUAGCGAACAAGUACAGUGAUGGAAAAUUGAAAAGAACUUUGAAGAGAGAGUGAAACAGUGCGUGAAACCGCUCAGAGGCAAGCAGAUGGGGCCUCGAAGACAGAACAGUGAAUUCAGUCGGUAGUCCGUGAGGCUGGCGGAAUGUGGGACUGCAAAGCCCUGUCCGUUGGCAUGUAGCGGCUGCCGAUGCACUUUCGCUGCUCGUACGCCUCCGCCGUUGACUCGGCUUCCGUCAAGCCUGCUGCGUGGAGCCUGAUGCCUUUGGGCGUCGGUGUCUCACCGCGGGUAAGACGCGCUAGCCAGACAACCGGUCAAGUCGGCAUGUGCCAGCGUAAGCGUUGGGUUGAGCGCUCUGCGGUGCUGUAGUGGAAGACGGGCGCAAGUCCGGCUCUGCCGCACGCUGUAGACUCGCGGAGACUUUCAACGUGGCACAUUGUAGAUUCGGAGGCGAGUAGAUGGCUGCCCAUCUACCCGUCUUGAAACACGGGAACCAAGGAA